GUGCUCACUUUAGCAGCACAUGUACUAAAACUGGAACAAUAUAGAGAAUGUCAGCCAGACCCCUGCAUAGGAAUGAUAUACAAGGGUUUUUUUU
rnacentral:snRNA from 1 species